rnacentral:rRNA from 1 species
UACGUAGGGUGCAAGCGUUGUCCGGAAUUAUUGGGCGUAAAGAGCUCGUAGGCGGUUUGUCGCGUCUGCUGUGAAAACCCGAGGCUCAACCUCGGGCCUGCAGUGGGUACGGGCAGACUAGAGUGCGGUAGGGGAGAUUGGAAUUCCUGGUGUAGCGGUGGAAUGCGCAGAUAUCAGGAGGAUCACCGCUGGCGAAGGCGGGUCUCUGGGCCAUUCCUGACGCUGAGACACGAAAGCGUGGGGAGCAAACAGG